GUCUGACUGGUCAACAAACAGAAGAAGCAUAAGGAAUUCAAUGGGGGACAAAUGAGGGCAGUGGUCACAAUGUCACUCUGCUGCACUGAGACUAAUGACAUUAAUUGCUUGCUGUUUUCCAUAGGUCUGACUGCAACAUCCCCAAAUGACUGGAAUCAAAUACAGAGGGUUGCUUUAGCCAUAUUUUACUUACGUUUGGAAAAAGAAAUAUUACAGAAGAGCAAAGAAUAAUAAUGGGUUAGCUAGACUGAUGAUGGGAGUCAUCCAGCCUGCAUCCUGGAUUCCAUGGCCAUCUACUAACCACAAGACCUCAAAUUUAAAUGGAUGUCCUGCAUUUUCAUAUACUAAUCUGGCAUCUCUAGGAUUUAGCACCUGAGAGGACUUUUCCAAUGGCAUGAGGAUCACAAGUUUGAGGGCAAACUUGGCAACUUGGAGAGACUGUCUACAAAAUGGUUGGGAAUGUAU